rnacentral:rRNA from 1 species
UCGGGAAUUUUGGGCAAUGGGCGAAAGCCUGACCCAGCAACGCCGCGUGAGGGAUGAAGUAUUUCGGUAUGUAAACCUCGAAAGAAUGGGAAGAAUAAAUGACGGUACCAUUUAUAAGCUCCGGCUAACUACGUGCCAGCAGCUGCGGUAAUACGUAGGGAGCAAGCGUUGUUCGGAUUUACUGGGCGUAAAGGGCGCGUAGGCGGCGCGGUAAGUCACUUGUGAAAUCUCUGAGCUUAACUCAGAACGGCCAAGUGAUACUGCUGUGCUAGAGUGCGGAAGAGGCAACCGGAAUUCUUGGUGUAGCGGUGAAAUGCGUAGAUAUCAAGAGGAACACCUGAGGCGAAGGCGGGUUGCUGGGCCGACACUGACGCUGAUGCGCGAAAGCCAGGGGAGCAAAC